rnacentral:rRNA from 1 species
ACGGAGGGUGCAAGCGUUAUCCGGAUUUACUGGGUUUAAAGGGUGCGUAGGCGGGUCUUUAAGUCAGUGGUGAAAACUCCGAGCUUAACUCGGAAACUGCCAUUGAUACUAUUGAUCUUGAAUUUAGUUGAGGUUGGCGGAAUGUGUCGUGUAGCGGUGAAAUGCUUAGAUAUGACAUAGAACACCAAUUGCGAAGGCAGCUUACUACACAAUGAUUGACGCCGAGGCACGAAAGCGUGGGGAUCAAACAGGA